AUUGAACGCUGGCGGCAUGCCUUACACAUGCAAGUCGAACGGUAACAGGUUAAGCUGACGAGUGGCGAACGGGUGAGUAAUAUAUCGGAACGUGCCCAGUCGUGGGGGAUAACUGCUCGAAAGAGCAGCUAAUACCGCAUACGACCUGAGGGUGAAAGCGGGGGAUCGCAAGACCUCGCGCGAUUGGAGCGGCCGAUAUCAGAUUAGGUAGUUGGUGGGGUAAAAGCCCACCAAGCCAACGAUCUGUAGCUGGUCUGAGAGGACGACCAGCCACACUGGGACUGAGACACGGCCCAGACUCCUACGGGAGGCAGCAGUGGGGAAUUUUGGACAAUGGGCGCAAGCCUGAUCCAGCCAUGCCGCGUGCGGGAAGAAGGCCUUCGGGUUGUAAACCGCUUUUGUCAGGGAAGAAAAGGUUCUGGUUAAUACCUGGGACUCAUGACGGUACCUGAAGAAUAAGCACCGGCUAACUACGUGCCAGCAGCCGCGGUAAUAC
rnacentral:rRNA from 1 species